AUUGAACGCUGGCGGCAGGCCUAACACAUGCAAGUCGAGCGGAGCGGCGGACGGGUGAGUAAUGCCUAUGAAUCUGCCUGGUCGUGGGGGAUAACGUCCGGAACCGGGCGCUAAUACCGCAUCCUAUCAGCUUAGCCUAGGUCGGAUUGGCUAGUUGGUGGGGUAAAGGCCUACCAAGGCGACGAUCCGUAACUGGUCUUAGAGGAUGAGCAGUCACACUGGAACUGAGACACGGUCCAGACUCCUACGGGAGGCAGCAGUGGGGAAUAUUGGACAAUGGGCGAAAGCCUGAUCCAGCCAUGCCGCGUGUGUGAAGAAGGUCUUCGGAUUGUAAAGCACUUUAAGUUGGGAGGCGUUACCAACAGAAUAAGCACCGGCUAACUUCGUGCCAGCAGCCGCGGUAAUAC
rnacentral:rRNA from 1 species